AUGACUACGAAUCUGACGCAGUUCGGAGCUAUGAGGAAGAAGAUUAAUAUGCCAGACAAGAUGAAGAAGAUGCAAGAGAGUCUACAGAAGAUAACAGAAGACCGUCAGAACUACUGUCUUCCGCCAGAAACUCAUACCAACGAGCACCAACUUCCAGAUAUCAGGGAAAAUGCAGGGACCAUAGAGGAAGCAGAAAUUAUUGGGAGGGCCAAGGAAAAACUGGAAAUCUUGGCUCGAUUAUCUGGGAGCACCACUGAACGAACCACCUUCCUCCCCAUAUGGGGCUUUGGAGGCAUUGGAAAGACCACCUUGGCAAGAUCAGUUUACAACGACCCUCAGUUUAAAAAUCACUCUCGGGUAUGGGUCUAUGUUUCCCAGAUAUUUGACUUGAAAAUUUUUGGAAAAACUAUAAUAUCGCAACUAUCAGAACCAGAACCAGAACAAAAGAGCAAGCCGGCACCUGAUUUGCAUAGUAUUAACAUUUGCUUGCAAAAGCUACUCACUGAGAAGAAGAAUAUUUUGAUCAUUUUGGAUGACCUGUGGGAGAAGCAUCCUUCUCAACUAGAACAAUUAAAGGAUAUGCUGAAGCAGGGUGAGGGAUGCAAGGUGACGGUUGUAGUUACCACACGGGAUGAAGGUAUUGCAAAUGAGAUUGGUACUGUUCAGCCAUACAACUUGCCUCAAUUGUCAGAUGAGAUGUGCUGGGAUAAAAUUAGGCAGAAAAGUAAAUUUGAAACAAGGGAUGACAAAGAAAGGUUGGAGCCGAUUGGAAGGGAUAUUGCAAAGAAGUGCAGAGGUGUAGCUUUAGCUGCUCAAUCACUUGGACACAUGUUGAAGUCCAGGCCGCACAGAGAAUGGAAUUCGGUGAAAGCCAAUCACAUAUGGGAUCUAUCUACUUCUACAGAUGCAUCACCAGGAAAUGAAGUGCUUGGAUCCUUGCAGUUAAGCUACAACUUCAUGCCUCCAUACUUGAAGUUAUGCUUUGCCUAUUGUGCAAUCUUUCCAAAGGGUCACAAGAUGAUUAAAUAUGAUCUGAUUCAUCAAUGGAUUGCUCUUGGAUUCGUGGAGGCAUCUAGUACAUUCUCUAAUUGGCCAAGAUUGUCACCACGAGGGCUGCCAUUCCCGCCAGCCGCCGAUGAUCCCCACUACGGUGGCCCUUGCUGCGAACGAAAAUAA
rnacentral:rRNA from 1 species